GCUGGGUGUGGUGAUGCACUCCUGUAAUCCCAACUACUCUGGAGGCUGAGGCAGGAGAAGCCAAAGUUUGAGGCUGAUCUGUGCAAUUUAGUCUGACCCUGUCUCAA
rnacentral:sRNA from 1 species